ensembl:Y_RNA Y_RNA Y RNA
GGCUGGUCCAGGUGCCGUGGUGUUUACAACUAAUUGAUCACAAUCAGUUACAGAUUGCUUUGUUUCUUAUCCAUUCCCACUGCUUUGUUGAACUAGCCAAAA